UUCGAGAUUCGACUAGUGUGACGGUGUGACUAAUGACUCGUGUGAUUUCGUCCGUAAUUCGAGAAACUCGAAAGUAAGAAUUGACAUUGCUUUUAGCUCAGCAACUCUUAUUAGCCUCUUUCUAGAUGUAGUCAUUGUAGUGAGCCAUUCAGAUUAUAUAAUUUAUGUAAUGCCAAUAUCCUGACCAGACCACCUAAGAAACAUUUUUUUCUGUGGUAGCCUUCCUUGCUUUGCCUGUUUUCAAUUGGAUUCCAGUUGGGCAAAUCCAACAACUAUAAGAAAGAGAUACACCAUAUCCACGAAAAGUUAAUUCCAAACUUUGCCUCUUAUCAAAGCUGUGUCACGUGUGCCAAGUAUUUUUGCUGACUCCAAGAAACCCUUAAACAAUGGGACAACUUCAACAUGCUUCAAGUGCAAUUAUUAAAAAAUCUUUGAAUGCUUGCCAUUACUUAGAUUUGUUAAAAAGGAUUUUGAUGUGGAUUCCUCUGUUUAGUAGAAACAUCAACUUUUUGUUGUGAGGCUUGGUGUAUCAUCUAGGUAUGAAGCUACUAUGUGCUCACUUUUCUCCGAGUUCAGCAACCUUUACAUCAAUGAUCACAACUGGAUAUUCAAUUGGGUAUUAUUGCGUAAUAAUACUUUGAUUGUGUUACUAAUGUCGACUUGAAGCAGAACCGUCAACAAAAUUUGAACCAUCGGUCAUCUCGCUCUUAAAACGUCCUCGCCCAGAGCUCCAGUAUCUUGUGGUGUGCAGCUACAUCCAGCUGCGACGUUAGUGGAGAUGAUCUUUUCAGGCUCCCGAACAAACGAUUUCGUCGAUGGUGACGACAACAUUUCCCAGUGGAUGAUCGUUUUCUACAGUUUUGUUUUCCACUUUGAAAGGACAAACCGUUUGGGAAUGUCGACCGAGUUCCUGCAGUUCGUCCACGAUGGAAACCAUGCGAUACUGGACCACGUUGUCUUCUUCUUCAGGCUGCCCAAGUUGACCGGAACCAGUUGCGGCAGUGCUUGGUAGGACGCAGCAAUGAGCUGCAGAAACGUAAAAGAUUAAAAGGCAAGAUCCACAAAGAAAUGCUACACAGAAGUUCCCUGGUCGAUUUGUCAAAAGUUUCAUUCUUAUCACACGAAGAGAUAUAGUUCUAACCCAUUGUUGGUCGAUGGUGUGAAGCUGUAACCAAUUCCGCUGCACGGCCCACCCAGAAAGCCUACCUCAGAUAAAUGACAUGAAUGAAUAUUCAGCUUUAGAUGGGAACUCCAACAACUUCUGCGAUCCUCCUAAUCCUUUCCAUCUACCCGACUUUGACACCGGGACCACCUAUUAUUGCCGACUUCUAAUGGUACUUCCGGACUUCCGGUAAUCCGCCACAGCUCGACCGGCUUUCAGUAUUAAGCCCACAUCCGAGACUCUAUACAAUUGACGAAUCCAUCGUGAAACGUGCAUUAGAAAACCGGGUCCGUUUUGCGCCCAACACAGAUGAUUCUCGGAGCGUUGCGCCUAUAAACGAGAAUGACAGAGACCUUUUAAUUUCAAGGGAGAUGGAUUAUUUGAAAAUGUCCAUUAGAAAAAAACUAAGAAACCGCUGGGAGGAAAUACCGAUCCGGCGAACAGUGCUCCUCUUUCCCGUUGCCAGGCAACAAUUUCUUCCACGCUGCUCGUCUACUGAAAAGGAGAAUGCGUUGAAUAGUAAAUUGAUGUGCGGAUGAAGACGAUUUCGUGCUAGUCGGGGAUGCAAUAGAUUUAUCUAACCGAAUUAUCCUCAGCCAAAUUUUCAUUCACAAUCACAAUUCACAACCUGCUAAAAUUGUGCUAAUUUGCCGAUUUUCCAUUCGCCUUUCGCCCUUUGAUCGCAAUUUUUAUGAUGUCGCAACGGUGCCCGUGCCCCUUCCCCUCCGUAGAGCCUUUCAAAAUGGCGACGACGUUACAAAUUGUGAUUGACGUGUCGCCUGUCGCCGUUCUCAACAUAUUUUAGGAUUUUUCGUUUUUUCCACGAGAUGGAGUGGAUUUGGAGGAAGAUCUGUAUUUACCUGUUUUAGUACUGGUGUGAUGUGUGACAGUUGGUUUUUCUUGACUAAUUUUUUUCUUGAAUUCAAGUUUGUACCAGUAAAAUUUAAUGAUAUAGACUGUUUUUAUUUGUGUUAA